ensembl:snRNA U2 U2 spliceosomal RNA
GCCGCUUCUCGGCCUUUUGGCUAAGAUCAAGUGUAGUAUCUGUUCUUAUCAGUUUAAUAUCUGAUAUGUCUUCCCUGGUGGCUCGGACGGUAAAGCGUCUGUCUAUGAUGUGGGAGACCCAGGUUCGAUCCCUGGGUUGGGAAAGAUCCCUUGGAGAAGGAAAUGGCAAUCCACUCCAGUACUCUUGCCUGG